AGACAGUCCAUGCUCAUGGAUUUGAAGAACAAAUAUCAUUAAAAUGUCUACGCUACCCAAAGCAAUCUACACAUUUAAUGCAAUUCCUAUCAAAAUACCAAGAGCAUUCUUCACAGAGCUAGAACAAACGAUUCUAAAAUUUGUAUGGAACCCCAAAAGACUCUGACUUGCUAAAACAAUCUUGAAAAAGCAAAGCGAAGCUGGAGGCAUCACAAUUCUAGACUUCAAGUUCUGUUACGCAACAGUGGCAAUCAAAAGGGUAUGACACUGGCACAAAAAGAGACACAUAGAUCAACAGAACAGAAUAGAAAAUCCAGAAAUAAAAACCCACAACUAUAUGGUUAAUUAAUCCUGGGAAAAUCAAGAAAGAAUAUUCAAUGGGAAAAAGAUGGUCUCUUCAACAAAUGAUGUUGGGAAAACUGGACAGCAACAUGCAGAAGAGUGAAAUUGGACCACUUUCUUUCACCAUACACAAAAAUAAAUUCAAAAUGGAUGAGAGACCUCAAUAUUGGACCUGAAAUGAUAAAAAUCCUCAAGGAGAACACAGGCAGUAAUCUCUUUGACAUCGUCCAUCGCAACUUUUUUUUUUUUUUUUUUUGCUAUGUCUCCUAAAGCAAGGGAAACAAAAGCAAAAAUGAAGUCUUGGGACUUCAUCCAAAUAAAACCUUUUGCACAGUGAAGGAAACCAUCAACAAGACUAAAAGAUCUUUGCAAAUGAUCGAUCUGAUAAAGGGUUAGUACCCAAAAUAUAUAAAGAACUUAUAAACUCAACAUCCAAAACCACAAAUAAUCCAAUUUAAAAAAAAUGAGAAGACAUAAACAGACAUUUCUCCAAAGAAGACAUCCAGAUGGCCAACAGACACAUGAAAUAAUGCUCAGCAUCACUCAUCAUCAGGGAAAUACAAAUCAAAACUACAAUGAGAUAUCACCUCGCACCUGUCAGAAUGGCUAACAUCAACAAGACAAGAAACAACAGGUGUUGGUGAGGAUGUCAAGAAAGGGGGAACCCCCUUGCACUGUUGGUGGGAAUGCAAACUGGUGCAGCCACUGUGGAAAGCAGUAUGGAGGUUCGUCAAAAUGUUAAAAAUAGAACUACCUUAUGAUCACAUUCCUGGGUAUUUACCCAAAGAAUACAAAAACGCGAAUUCAAAGGGAUACCUGCACCCCUAUGUUUAUAGCAGCAUUAUUUACAAUAGCCAAGAUAUGGAAGCAGCCCAAGUGUCCAUGGACAGAUGAGUGGAUAAAGAAGAUAUGGUGGGUAUAUACAACAGGGCAUCAUUCAGCCAGACAAGAGAGUGAAGUCUUGCCAGUUGCAACAACAUGGAUGGAGCUGGCGAGUAUAAUGAUGAGCAACGCACAACUCUACCUGGGUAUAAACUCCCAGGAGCAGAGCAGCCGGAUCAAAGGGCGCACACAUUUCCCUCUCUGAGAGAUGUUACAAAUCCUCCUCAGGGCCAGGCACAGCCCACAACCAGGAGUCUAGUCGUGCACCUCCCCCGGUUCUCAGCAAACGUUGUGAUCUCUGCCAAUCUGUGUGUCUAGAUAAUGGACGGCUAAAAGCCAAGACUCCAUUACAGCGUGCAUUCUAGAUGCGAUUUGGGCUCUGCUAAUGAGAUGAACUUCUAGGAGUGUGAUUCAAGGCUGAGUCACGAGGCGGGACGGCCAGUGGUAUGGAGCAUCUUUGCCACCACAGAUCAGGAUGCAGGUGACCCAGUUCUGGAAUCGUGAGCUAUGGUGACCGUUCCCUUCUGAUCAAGGCAGAAGCAGCCGCUCCGGUGACAGCCAGUUCUGGUCUGUGCUUCUGGGACAUGUCCCUGGACGCCCAGCCCGGGGUGUGUUACUUCGACUUCCAGAUGAUUCUGGGAGGUAUCUAUUCUCCUUAAUAAAUCCAUUUCUGCUUAAGCUAGCUGAAUGGCUUCUAAGAACAACUAAGAACACUGACCAACAAAAUCCCCGUUUGGCAAAAUGUCCUCCAGGAAGAAAUUGUACCGAUUUCUGGUCCUGCUAGGUGUGAGAUGACACAACCCCAAGAGUGUUUAGGGAAAGUUUGAUUCUCUCCUCAGGGGGUGUGGUCAGGGAAGGCAUUUUUUUUUUUAAUGUUUGCUUAUUUUGAGAGAGACAGAGACAGAGAAAGCACGAGCAGGGGAGAGGAGCAGAGGGAGCGAGAGAAUCCCAAGCAGGCUCUACACUGUCAACACAGAGCUCCAUGUGGGGCUCGAUCUCAUGAACCGUGAGAUGAUGGUGACCUGAGCAGAAAUCAGGAGCCAGAUGCCCAAGCGACCGAACCCCCCGGGCACUCCAGGGAAGUCGUUUCUAAAGAAGGAAGCUGAGAACUGGGAUCCUGGCCCAGAAGAUCAGUGUCUGUACUUUGUAUGCCGGGAACCGGGCCAUGCUGUUGGCAUCCAUUAAUCUCACCAUCCUUACAACUUCACGAGAGAUGUGGAAUCACCCCCGUUUCACAGAGGGAGACACGGAAACUCAGGUUGUUUGACUUGCCCAAGGACAGCUAAUUCACACAGAUCAUGGGCUACAACCACAGAUGGGCUGGACCCCAGAGUCCACACUUGGCUCGUGGCCAUGGGUCUACCUUGCUAGUCCAUUCCUAUGCCCAGGGUUAUCUGUCGUGAGUAGACACUUGCUCCCGUCCCUGGCACCUCUCUGAGCCCAGGGCAUCAUGACAGCACCAGUGACACCGGGUUCCUCUGCUGCUGCUUCCUGGGACCCCCCUCUUCCAUCAGUCCCCUCCGGAGCCUCGGGCAGAUGCCCAGUCGACUGAUGUCCACCAGGCACCCCCGAUGUGCCAGGCACCGGUGCCCACUGCCCAGCGCUUCACCUGGUCCCAUCUGCUCCUGGAAACAUCCCUGAGAGGUAGCAGCACAAUCCUUGUUUCACACGUUCAGAGAGCUUAGGUAAUUCAACCAAGGCCACAUAGCUGGUAAAUGUUGAAGUGCAGACACAAGCCAGCUCCGUUGGAUUUGAGAGCCUGGGCUUAAAACGGGACCACGUUCCCCAAAGAACGGGAAAAAUGUCACCUGCGUCACCCUAGCCCCAAAUCAAUCAGCGGGAACAUCCCCGUCGACGGGCGAAUCGAUGUCACUUUUUCCUGACGAGUUGCCCUGGGAAGGACUCGGCAUCUCUUCUGUGAUGUUUCUGCUCAAAGCGCAGGGCCUGGGUCUGAUCACAAGGAAGCAUCAUAAGGCAAGGCCAAGGUGAGGGGCAUUCUACAAAAUGCAUGGCCUGCGCUCCUCCCAAAUGUCAAGGUCACAAAAGACAGAAAAGCAUGGGAGCCAUUCCAGACUAAGGAGACCUGACCAUCGCGUGUGAGACCUGAUUGGAUCUCGGGCCAGAAAAACAUUGCUCUAAAGUCCAUG